AUUGAACGCUAACGGCGUGCUUAACACAUGCAAGUCGAGCGGCAGCAUGAUCUGUAGCAAUACAGAUUGAUGGCGAGCGGCGGACGGGUGAGUAAUGCAUAGGAAUCUGCCUUGUAGUGGGGGAUAACCCGGGGAAACUCGGGCUAAUACCGCAUAAUCUCUACGGAGCAAAGUGGGGGAUCGUAAGACCUCACGCUAAAAGAUGAGCCUAUGUUGGGUUAGACUAGUUGGUGAGGUAAUGGCUCACCAAGGCGACGAUCCAUAGCUGGUCUGAGAGGAUGAACAGCCACACUGGGACUGAGACACGGCCCAGACUCAUACGGAGGGCAGCAGUGGGGAAUAUGGGACAAUGGGCGAAAGCCUGAUCCAGCAACGCCGUGUGUGUGAAGAAGGCCUUCGGGUUGUAAAGCCCUUUUAGUUGGGAAGAAAAGCUCAUGGGUAAUAUCCAUGAGUGCUGACGUUACCAACAGAAAAAGCACUGGCUAACUCUGUGCCAGCAGCCGCCGUAA
rnacentral:rRNA from 1 species